CCUACGGGUGGCAGCAGUGAGGAAUAUUGGUCAAUGGCCGGAAGGCUGAACCAGCCAAGCCGCGUGAAGGACGAAGGUGCCAAGCAUUGUAAACUUCUUUUGUCAAGGGACAAAAUCAGGCUCGAGUGCCUGACCGAGGGUACUUGAAGAAAAAGCAUCGGCUAACUCCGUGCCAGCAGCCGCGGUAAUAAGGAGGAUGCGAGCGUUAUCCGGAUUUAUUGGGUUUAAAGGGAGCGUAGGCGGAUUGUUAAGUCAGGGGUUAAAGCCCGGGGCUUAACCCCGGCGUGGCGAUUGAAACUGGCUGUCUUGAGUAGUGGAGAGGUAUGCGGAAUGCGCGGUGUAGCGGUGAAAUGCUUAGAUAUUGCGAAGAACUCCGAUUGCGAAGGCAGCAUACUGGC
rnacentral:rRNA from 1 species